CCCCUAGACGUUCUGGGCUGCACGCGCGCUACAAUAAUACGCACAGCGAGUAUCACCGAGCUCGAAAGGGCAAGGUAAACAAUAGAAAAGGUACUGUAAUGGUUAUAGAUCCUUGUAAUUAUUGAUCUUCAACGAGGAAUUCCUAGUAAGUAUGUGUCAUCAUCACGCACUGAUUACGUCCCUGCCCUUUGUACACACCGCCCGUCGCUCCUACCGAUUGAGUGAGCCGAUGAAACUGCCGGAUGUGGACUAUCCAUAGUCUGCAGAAGAUAUUUGAAUCGUAGCGCUUAGAGGAAGGAGAAGUCGUAACA
rnacentral:rRNA from 1 species